rnacentral:rRNA from 1 species
GUGCAGCAGUAAGGAAUAUUGGGCAAUGGACGCAAGUCUGACCCAGCCAUGCCGCGUGAAGGAAGACGGCCCUACGGGUUGUAAACUUCUUUUGCAAGGGAAUAAAGUGGGCCACGUGUGGCCUUUUGCAAGUACCUUGCGAAUAAGGAUCGGCUAACUCCGUGCCAGCAGCCGCGGUAAUACGGAGGAUCCGAGCGUUAUCCGGAUUUAUUGGGUUUAAAGGGUGCUCAGGCGGGACAUUAAGACGGCGGUGAAAUUUUGCGGCUCAACCGUAAAAGUGCCUUCGAAACUGGUAUCCUUGAGUGUGGAUGAGGUAGGCGGAAUUUGUGGUGUAGCGGUGAAAUGCAUAGAUAUCACGAGGAACUCCGAUUGCGCAGGCAGCUUACUAAGCCAUAACUGACGCUCAAGCACGAAGGCGUGGGGAUCAAACAGGAUUAGAUACCC